ACAAGAACCCGGAGCUUGCCAGCCAUGGGAGUAAAAGAACUGUAACACUCUCUCUCACCCAUCGAACAACAGGAGUGAAAAAGCUGCAACACUUCCUCUAAUAAUAAUAAGAGUGAGUUUGCAUUCUGAGUUCACGCAAUAUCUGGAUGUGUAAGAGUGCAGCGCCUCCUCCCUCUCUCUUGCUUCUGCCGUCGCUGUGUGAUCCUGCUGGUCCCCCUUUGCCUUCCUCCAUGAUUGUUAUCUUCUUGAAGCCCCAUCAGGAGCACAUGCAAGCACCAUGCUUCCUAUUCGGCCUGCAGAACCUUUCUAACAGUUUCACUCUAUGAAGUCAUCAAGUCAGAUUGUAGGAGAAAAAGAAACGAGACUGAAACUUCCAGGGGAGAGGACCUAGUACCGUCUCUACCUGAUUGUUUUCUGUACUGCAGAAAUUAGUUGCAUACACUUCUAAUGUUUGGUCAUCAUGGCUAUCUAUGUAUAUGGAUACAGCACCAUCUCCCUAUUCCAGGCUCGCAGUGGGAAAGACGAGGCACUGGAAUGUCACCAGGGAAGGGAUAGCAGCUGUCUCUUCAUCUUUCUUUCUCUCAGGGUUCACAAAACCCUGACUCCGCUUGCGUUGCACCACACUGUAUAGAUUGCAUUUAUUUGUUUCACUUGUAAAUUCUCAACAUAUUCGACCUCAAAUGUAUCUUUAGAUGCAGUAUAUUUUUCAAAUACAAUCACUGGUGAUAACAUUCUGUCGAAUGGCAUUUUUUAAAAAUCUGAAUAACCUUCCCUUACUUCCAUAAACAUAGUAAAUAUUUCUAGUAUUCAUUUCAUACAUUAGCUAUUGGCUAAAUUAGAAUAAAUAAUGUUCUUUACUCUGACAAGAGAAUUCAAAAUGAAUCUUUAUGAAGUCAGAUAGGAUUUGGCAAUUUUUUUUUUGGUUACCUAUUUAACAUGGCAGUAAAAUCAAAUUACCAAGGUCAAUAAACUAAUUUUUGAUUUCCUCAUAUGGACCAAUUAUGCGACCUGUGUAUCAUACCUGUCACACCAAACUUAUGCCACAUAGACCAUGUAGCAGACAUGUCAUAAAGAGUCAAAAGGAAAGUGUAACACAAUAAUCAAGUUUCUAUAAUGUUAAUAAAUGUUCAUUUUUAUGGAGAAAAAAAUUAAGUUUUCAAAUUUAAGUAAAGAAAAGAAAAAAUAGACAUUUCCACUUAAAAAUUGUUGUGUUUGAAUAGUUUUGGAAAUAUAUAAACAUAGCUUUAGUGAGGACCUUUAAUUAAUACAGCUCCUUGGUGUAUUUUUGUUUUGGAUUACAGAUUAUCAAAUGGAGGUCUGAAAAUAUUCUGAUGCAUAUAUAAUAUUAUCUUCUAUUUUAAAAGUAUAAAAUACUACAAUUUACUUUAAAUCUCUACUCUGUCUUGAAGCUAAACAUAAAUGUGUCAUUUUCAAAUUAUCAUAAUUGUUUUCUUUUCAUCUUCCAUUUACAUCUGCAAAGAAAAACUUUAUUUUUACCAUAUUA
rnacentral:lncRNA from 10 species